rnacentral:rRNA from 1 species
UACAGAGGUCUCAAGCGUUGUUCGGAUUCAUUGGGCGUAAAGGGUGCGUAGGCGCCCCGGUAAGUCGGUGGUGAAAUCUCGGAGCUUAACUCCGAAACUGCAUUCGAUACUGCCGUGCUUGAGGACUGGAGAGGAGACUGGAAUUUACGGUGUAGCGGUGAAAUGCGUAGAUAUCGUAAGGAAGACCAGUGGCGAAGGCGGGUCUCUGGACAGUUCCUGACGCUGAGGCACGAAGGUCAGGGGAGCAAACGGG